AUGAACGCUAGCUACAGGCUUAACACAUGCAAGUCGAGGGGCAGCAUUUUAGUUUGCUUGCAAACUGAAGAUGGCGACCGGCGCACGGGUGAGUAACACGUAUCCAACCUGCCGAUAACUCCGGAAUAGCCUUUCGAAAGAAAGAUUAAUACCGGAUAGCAUACGAAUAUCGCAUGAUAUUUUUAUUAAAGAAUUUCGGUUAUCGAUGGGGAUGCGUUCCAUUAGUUUGUUGGCGGGGUAACGGCCCACCAAGACUACGAUGGAUAGGGGUUCUGAGAGGAAGGUCCCCCACAUUGGAACUGAGACACGGUCCAAACUCCUACGGGAGGCAGCAGUGAGGAAUAUUGGUCAAUGGGCGAGAGCCUGAACCAGCCAAGUAGCGUGAAGGAUGAAGGCUCUAUGGGUCGUAAACUUCUUUUAUAUGGGAAUAAAGUUUUCCACGUGUGGAAUUUUGUAUGUACCAUAUGAAUAAGGAUCGGCUAACUCCGUGCCAGCAGCCGCGGUAAUACGGAGGAUCCGAGCGUUAUCCGGAUUUAUUGGGUUUAAAGGGAGCGUAGGUGGAUUGUUAAGUCAGUUGUGAAAGUUUGCGGCUCAACCGUAAAAUUGCAGUUGAAACUGGCAGUCUUGAGUACAGUAGAGGUGGGCGGAAUUCGUGGUGUAGCGGUGAAAUGCUUAGAUAUCACGAAGAACUCCGAUUGCGAAGGCAGCUCACUAGACUGUCACUGACACUGAUGCUCGAAAGUGUGGGUAUCAAACAGGAUUAGAUACCCUGGUAGUCCACACAGUAAACGAUGAAUACUCGCUGUUUGCGAUAUACAGUAAGCGGCCAAGCGAAAGCAUUAAGUAUUCCACCUGGGGAGUACGCCGGCAACGGUGAAACUCAAAGGAAUUGACGGGGGCCCGCACAAGCGGAGGAACAUGUGGUUUAAUUCGAUGAUACGCGAGGAACCUUACCCGGGCUUAAAUUGCAACAGAAUAUAUUGGAAACAGUAUAGCCGUAAGGCUGUUGUGAAGGUGCUGCAUGGUUGUCGUCAGCUCGUGUCGUGAGAUGUUGGGUUAAGUCCCGCAACGAGCGCAACCCUUAUCUUUAGUUACUAACAGGUUAUGCUGAGGACUCUAGAGAGACUGCCGUCGUAAGAUGUGAGGAAGGUGGGGAUGACGUCAAAUCAGCACGGCCCUUACGUCCGGGGCUACACACGUGUUACAAUGGGGGGUACAGAAGGCGGCUACCUGGUGACAGGAUGCUAAUCCCAAAAACCUCUCUCAGUUCGGAUCGAAGUCUGCAACCCGACUUCGUGAAGCUGGAUUCGCUAGUAAUCGCGCAUCAGCCAUGGCGCGGUGAAUACGUUCCCGGGCCUUGUACACACCGCCCGUCAAGCCAUGAAAGCCGGGGGUACCUGAAGUACGUAACCGCAAGGAGCGUCCUAGGGUAAAACUGGUAAUUGGGGCU
rnacentral:rRNA from 1 species